AGACGGUGGUGCUGUUUCUCCCAGAAAACGCACCAUCAAAUUCCUGAAACUAGCAACAGAAAAAUAAAUAAGGUGGCUUGAAAAUAAAAAAAGUGCUGAAAAAUAAAAAAGAGUGCAAACUAAAUGCUAAAGCUAACACGCACAGGAUUAUGGGAUCGUGAGUUCGGAAACCCACAGGAAACAUGUCCAGCGGGAGAAAUCACUGUUAUUGGGAUUUUACUGCUCGUAAUGUCCUCUUUGUUUGUGUGUUUGGAGCACCAGCUUACAAGGAAGACUUUUACUCCCAUCUCUCAAAAACUCAUCCCUCUGUACUAUCCAUCCAUAGUCCAGAGCCUACAGGUGAUGCUGCUGAUUGGCUAGACUGAUGCAGGGGGAUGACUCUUUCUCGUUCCACGCUCCCUGGCCAGCCAGUCAGAGAAAUGGAGACGUUUGGCAUAUUUGCUGUUAAUUAGUUGCUCUUUUAUAAUGUUUAUCUUUAUAUUAUAUAUAUAUAUAUAUUUAUAUAUAUAUAUAUGCAGGGUCAUCUAA